GACGAACGCUGGCGGCGUGCUUAACACAUGCAAGUCGAACGGAAAGGCCCUGCUUUUGUUGGGUGCUCGAGUAGCGAACGGGUGAGUAACACGUGAGUAACCUGCCCUUGACUUUGGGAUCACUUCAGGAAACUGGGGCUAAUACCGGAUAGUAGCUCCUGCUGCAUGGUGUGGGUUGGAAAGUUUCGGCGGUUGGGGAUGGACUCGCGGCUUAUCAGCUUGUUGGUGGGGUAGUGGCUUACCAAGGCUUUGACGGGUAGCCGGCCUGAGAGGGUGACCGGCCACAUGGGGACUGAGAUACGGCCCAGACUCCUACGGGAGGCAGCAGUGGGGAAUAUUGCACAAUGGGCGGAAGCCUGAUGCAGCAACGCCGCGUGCGGGAUGACGGCCUUCGGGUUGUAAACCGCUUUCGCCUGUGACGAAGCGUGAGUGACGGUAAUGGGUAAAGAAGCACCGGCUAACUACGUG
rnacentral:rRNA from 1 species